UUGAAAUUCUUCAUAUUGUCACAGAAAUUAUAACUGCACUUAAGUCCAGUGAAUUGUGUGUGUGGCAGGGGGUGGGGGAAGGAGGGUUUGUUGUUUGGUUUUGUUUUUAAACUGGGACAGAGGAAUUGAGUUAAGGGGGGAAAUUAGGCCUUUACUAAAGGGAAAACACACAUACAUACAAUAGAGCAUUUCAGAGGAUGCAUACAGUAAAUUAUACCAUUUCUCUCCUGUCUUUUUUCAUUUCCCACCUCCUCCUGCUUAUUCUUCAAGAGUCAUCUUUCUUCCCCAACACACUCACAAAAGGCCUCCUUUAUUACCUUUUGUUAUGUUACCUCCUGAUGUGGGAGUGGUGUGAUAAUGGGGUCUCCCAAGCUGAGUCCUUGAGGAUAGAUAAUCACUCUUUGUUAGCGGGCAUUCCACCUUUCUUCUGAGGCUUUCAAAGGCUUAAAAUAAGGCUCCACCAAAUAGGGGCUAUUGGAAAACAGAAGAAAAGAGUCAUGUAAAGAGGUUACUUGGAGGGACAGAGCCAGCACAAAGACCACACCACAGGGAGGAACAAAUACCCCAACAACCUUCUCCUCUUUCCACCCCAUCUCAUGCCAGCUUUCCCUCUCAACAAUCUGCCAAUCUGCCUAUAUCUAUACCUCAUCCACCUGCUUCCCACCUCUUUGCUCUACGUAGUCAAGAA
rnacentral:lncRNA from 1 species